AUUACAUCUGUCCGAAUUGUAAUUUCAAGAGGCAUCUUUGGGUGUGGCUCAGGUAAAAGUCUGUUGGAAUACAGCAUCAUAGAGGGUGAGAAUCCCGUCCAUGACCUGGGACCCAUUCCUAUGUAAAGUGUCUUCAAAGAGUCGAGUUGUUUGGGAAUGCAGCUCUAAAUGGGUGGUAAAUUCCAUCUAAGGCUAAAUACUGGUGGGAGACCGAUAGCGAACAAGUAGUGUGAACGAAAGAUGAAAAGAACUUUGAAAAGAGAGUUAAAUAGUACGUGAAAUUGUUGAAAGGGAAGCGCUUGGGACCAGAGUGCUGCUUAUCAGGAUCAGCAAAGCUUCAAGUUUUGUGCACUCCUGAAUUUGCAGGGCCAGCAUCAGUUUGGACGGUUGUAUAAAGGCUUGAGGAAGGUAGCUUUGUCUUUUUUAGAUAGAGUGUUAUAGACUCUUGUGCAAUGCAACCAGUUUGGACUGAGGACUGCAGCAAUUUAUUUGCUUAAGGAUGCUGGCGUAAUGGUCUCAAUCGACCCGUCUUGAAACACGGACCAAGGAGUCUAACAUCUAUGCAAGUGUUUGGGUGUCAAACCCAUGUGCGAAAUGAAAGUGAAUGCAGAUGGGAUCCCCCACAAGGGGUGCACCAUCGACCGAUCCUGAUGUUCUCGGAUGGAUUUGAGUAAGAGCAUAGCUGUUGGGACCCGAAAGAUGGUGAACUAUGCCUGAAUAGGGUGAAGCCAGAGGAAACUCUGGUGGAGGCUCGUAGCGGUUCUGACGUGCAAAUCGAUCGUCAAAUUUGGGUAUAGG
rnacentral:rRNA from 1 species